rnacentral:lncRNA from 1 species
UGUCAUUCUUGACCGAGUAGAUGAAAUACGCUAAGGUGUCCUUUUCAUUCACUGGAAUUGUCCUAAAAUGGCAGCCAAUGAUUUCAACAAGCUGUGCUUUGUUAAGUCCCGGUCUGGUCUGUAGCUUGAAGUGUCUUUUGUACCUUCGAAGUGUGUUCACUUGUAACUGAUAUAAAUCAACCUCUGGAGUGUCGAUGUCUUGCACUGGUGAGUCACCAUCGUCAUCACUGCCUUUUCUCUUCCUUCUAUUUCUCACGCUCUGAAUUAAGUUUUUGUGGAAGUCACAGAUAUAAAGGUGUCUCGCGCUCUUGUCCAGCUCGAUCUUCACCUUCUUCUGGGAGAUGCUCUUCUGGAUCCUCUUGCUGAAG